CUAUCUAUUCUGUGAGACAGUUGAGCUGCCCAUCAUACUCUAUGUAGAAGACCUUUCCCUAAGCUGCACCUGCUGCUUGCCCAGCACAUUGGCCCAGCCGACUGGUCCAGGCUCUGUAUAAGAGUCGGAGUCGGCACAGCCGCCCCACUGGGCUGAUACACCCUGGCCUACAGCAUAAGAGGACGCCAGCUUUCACAAAACCAUGGAUGUAUGGACAGAAUAUUGAGGAUUACACUUGGAGUAGGAGGAAAGACAGGAAGAAAGGCCUGAGAGUCUGUGUUUGGCCUCUGACCUGGAUCAGCAGUCCACCUGGAUUGUAUUGUUUUCAAGAAGACAGAUGCCGAAUGUCUGAAGUGUCACAAUACUUCCCAGCCAUCUCUCAUUAUCCCAUGCAGAUGUUAAACAGCCAGCCAGUGGUAUUGCUCUGAGUGCGUCACCGCAUGUGUCUCAUGGCUGAUGGCUCUGCAAGACUCCACCUUUAGCCCAUUUAUGUGAUGGAUGGGUUUAUGGCUCUAUUCUUGUCUUCAGUGUCAGUAGGAAUCCAACCAUGCAGAACUUAAGUCAGCUUGAUGAAUCACUACAAAACAACACUUUUCAAGAGGCUUACUGAAGAUGUGUAGACAACACUUGACCUGGGCUCAAGCAGUGCGAAACCUUACACCACCUCUCUGGUGAAAUGGAACCUGUUAGUACCCCACAUCUGGGUCAUGGCAAGUGUAGGUGGUGUGUAUAGAAGUUCAUGUUUGUGGUCAUGUGAAUAUGUGUGUGUGUGUGUGUGUGUGUUAAACCUGUAUCACCUCAGUGAUUAGAAAACCAUCUGCAAGUAUCUAGGUGUCAUUAUCUCUUUGUGGGACUGUGUAGACAUACGAGUGUCUUUAUGAACGCCCACACAC